GCCCUUCCUGGGAGAACAGCCCCGGGAUGAAUGGGUGAAGGAAUUGGAGCACCGGGUAUGGCAGGAGAUUUGGCUGGAAGAUGCCUACCAGGCGCUCUGGUGGUAUGGGUCACAGUACCUACCCUGGACAGCCGAGCAUGACAAGCCAGAGGGAGAGGAGUUUGAUGGUCCUGGCUUGUUAUGGGAGUCAUUUUCAGAGCUCGAAUUUGGGAGCCCUACACAAGCCCGGUUCAGUGAUCUCUUGGAGUGGAG
rnacentral:lncRNA from 1 species